rnacentral:rRNA from 1 species
GACGAACGCUGGCGGCGUGCCUAACACAUGCAAGUCGAACGGAAAGUUAGCAAUAACUUUUCGUGGCGAACGGGUGAGUAACGCGUGGGCAACCUGCCCUUCAGACGGUGACAACAUUCCGAAAGGAGUGCUAAUACCGGAUACGACCUUUAGACCGCAUGGUUUAAAGAAGAAAGGUGGCCUCUAUUUAUAAGCUACCGCUGAAGGAUGGGCCGGCGUCUGAUUAGCUAGUUGGUGGGGUAAAGGCCUACCAAGGCGACGAUCAGUAGCCGGUCGGAGAGGAUGAACGGCCACACUGGGACUGAGACACGGCCCAGACUCCUACGGGAGGCAGCAGUGGGGAAUCUUCCGCAAUGGGCGAAAGCCUGACGGAGCAACGCCGCGUGAGUGAAGAAGGUCUUCGGAUUGUAAAGCUCUGUUUAAAGGGACGAAUGGUCAGAUUGUGAAUAAUGAUUUGACAUGACGGUACCUUUGGAGGAAGCCACGGCUAACUACGUGCCAGCCGCCGCGGUAA